UACGUAGGUGGCAAGCGUUAUCCGGAUUUAUUCGGUGUAAAGGGCGUGUAGGCGGGAGCGCAAGUCAGAUGUGAAAACUCAGGGCUCAACCCUGAGCCUGCAUUUGAAACUGUGUUUCUUGAGUGCUGGAGAGGCAAUCGGAAUUCCGUGUGUAGCGGUGAAAUGCGUAGAUAUACGGAGGAACACCAGUGGCGAAGGCGGAUUGCUGGACAGUAACUGACGCUGAGGCGCGAAAGCGUGGGGAGCAAACAGG
rnacentral:rRNA from 1 species